GGAAAUGUCACUCAUAGAUAAAAUGCUAGGAUCAUAUAUGAUUAUUUGGAUACUUAUAAAACAUACACAUAAUUGAGAACUGAUUAAGGUGGUUACCCAAUAACACGUAUAACAACUUCAUAACAUAGAGCUAUCCUAAUCAAAGUGUUUUGCAGCGGAAAACGUGUGAGAUAUACAUAUGAAGAUGUAUACUCAAGGUUACAUUUCUUAAAAUGUCAAAGGAACACCCGCUCAACAUCAUUCCAUUCCAUCAGCUGCUCAACCUGCACAUUUAGAAAUACAUGCAGGGCUGAGUAUAAAAAUACUCAGUGGGCAUAGCCGAAAAUACAUUCAUGCAUAACAUAUAUAUAAAUUGAACUGCCAACAGUAACACACAGGGGUUUUCUUGAAAGUCCUGCGCUUACUAAAAUAUUUCUUUCAUUUUCAUAAAGUCGAUCGGCCGAUCAUUUUCCUUCAUAUGAUCCAUAUCUGUUCCAUUCUGUCACGCGCCGGGAAGGAGGCCUCCUUACCACGGACGCCAAGACCGGUCGCAAGCGACUCGCGGUCUCCAUGAGUGUACACGUUAACCCUAGCUAGCGACCUUUGUCUAGCAUAGGAUCCCAAUUGGAUUUCCUUUAAAGUUGGCGAACCAACACAGAUAGGAUACAUAUAAAAACAUAAACAUUUUGGCAGUCAAUCAUUUCAUAAACAUUUCAUUUUCAUAACAUUUUCAUUUUCAUAAAGGGCAUUAAACAUAUAAGCAUUUCAUAAGAACUGAAUAAAUAGUCAAAACAUAUCAUGCAUAUAUAUUCGCAUAUGAGGCCUACGUCACGCAGGGGAUCUCUAUAUACGUAAUAAUAAAAUAAUGCCCACCUGGAUAGGCAAAGCCUGAAGAU
rnacentral:lncRNA from 1 species